rnacentral:lncRNA from 1 species
UGCAGUUUCAGAUAUGCAUCUGUUCUUAUACAUACUUGUGUUUGUGAUCCAUUAAUUCUAGGAGUUGAUGUCUUGUGGGCCACAAUAAACAACAUCUAGAACUUGAAAAUAGGCAUCUGGUUCCAUAAUAAUGCCAAUUUCAAACGUUUUUAUGAUCAACUAAUGUGAUAUACACAGCAUGAUACACAGUGUUACUGUGGAUUUGUUCAGGUUUGCAAUUGCAAUAGCUUAGGAAAAAGGUGAAGAGGAACUAAGAUGGCACGUCCACCGUUCAUUUGAUGAAAAAGGGAACCCUACAUAUAACAUAACUGUGAUGUCAUCUUCCUCCUUCACCUUGGAUGUGACUGCUGAAUAUGGUAUCAUAUAAUAAUGAUUAAUCAAUGAAUAUACCAUGACCACAUAACCAUAUUCUCUAUUGCUCUUCGUUCGUGGACACCACGUACUUAUUAAACAUUCAAAAACAAAUCUAAUUCCAAAUUUGGACUUGAAAAGUUGAGAUGAACACCAAAUAUAUCAGAAUUGUUGUCGUGAUAUCUAUGCUUCAAAUUCUGGGCUGAUUCGAUUCUAUGUGCUUCUGGAGUUGUACUUGAAGAAAGAAAUAUGAAUAAAAGAAAAAGAAGGUGGUAGUGUGUCAAGAAAAUGUUUAUCAAAGUUGAAACCCUUCUUCCACCAUGAUGAGGAAUAUUGUGGUGAAAAGAUAAAGUAGGAAAAGUUUCCAUGGCCACAAAACAUAAUUCACAAGCUUCUCUGCUUUUGGCCCC